rnacentral:rRNA from 1 species
GCGUAAAGGGCUCGCAGGCGGUUUCUUAAGUCUGAUGUGAAAGCCCCCGGCUCAACCGGGGAGGGUCAUUGGAAACUGGGGAACUUGAGUGCAGAAGAGGAGAGUGGAAUUCCACGUGUAGCGGUGAAAUGCGUAGAGAUGUGGAGGAACACCAGUGGCGAAGGCGACUCUCUGGUCUGUAACUGACGCUGAGGAGCGAAAGCGUGGGGAGCGAACAGGAUUAGAUACCCUGGUAGUCCACGCCGUAAACGAUGAGUGCUAAGUGUUAGGGGGUUUCCGCCCCUUAGUGCUGCAGCUAACGCAUUAAGCACUCCGCCUGGGGAGUACGGUCGCAAGACUGAAACUCAAAGGAAUUGACGGGGGCCCGCACAAGCGGUGGAGCAUGUGGUUUAAUUCGAAGCAACGCGAAGAACCUUACCAGGUCUUGACAUCCUCUGACAAUCCUAGAGAUAGGACGUCCCCUUCGGGGGCAGAGUGACAGGUGGUGCAUGGUUGUCGUCAGCUCGUGUCGUGAGAUGUUGGGUUAAGUCCCGCAACGAGCGCAACCCUUGAUCUUAGUUGCCAGCAUUCAGUUGGGCACUCUAAGGUGACUGCCGGUGACAAACCGGAGGAAGGUGGGGAUGACGUCAAAUCAUCAUGCCCCUUAUGACCUGGGCUACACACGUGCUACAAUGGACAGAACAAAGGGCAGCGAAACCGCGAGGUUAAGCCAAUCCCACAAAUCUGUUCUCAGUUCGGAUCG